rnacentral:rRNA from 1 species
UACGAAGGGGGCUAGCGUUGUUCGGAUUUACUGGGCGUAAAGGGCGCGUAGGCGGCGCACCAAGUCAGGCGUGAAAGCCCUGGGCUCAACCCGGGAAUUGCGCUUGAGACUGGUGUGCUUGAGUACGGGAGAGGAUAGUGGAAUUCCCAGUGUAGAGGUGAAAUUCGUAGAUAUUGGGAAGAACACCGGUGGCGAAGGCGGCUAUCUGGACCGUAACUGACGCUGAGGCGCGAAAGCGUGGGGAGCAAACAGG